GAUGAACGCUGGCGGCGUGCUUAACACAUGCAAGUCGAACGAAGCAAUGAAAUGAAAGUUUUCGGAUGGACAUUUCAUUGACUUAGUGGCGGACGGGUGAGUAACGCGUGGGUAACCUACCUCAUACAGGGGGAUAACAGUUGGAAACGACUGCUAACACCGCAUAAGCCUACAGUCUCGCAUGAGACAGUAGGAAAAUAUUUAUAGGUAUGAGAUGGACCCCGCGUCUGAUUAGCUAGUUGGUAAGGUAACGGCUUACCAAGGCGACGAUCAGUAGCCGACUUGAGAGAGUGAUCGGCCACAUUGGGACUGAGACACGGCCCAAACUCCUACGGGAGGCUG
rnacentral:rRNA from 1 species